GACCCAAGGAGAACAGCACCUUCAAUAAAACUCACUGAGAGAGUCCUGAAGAACUUUGUAGCUAAGCAGCUCUGUCAGCAUGGCUCAGAAUACUAAAAGUUGCUACAAUCCUGCUGGAAUCCCAAAGCUGCAGUGCAGAACAAUACCUUUGAAUACAGUCACUAAGACAGCAUCACUGAAACAGACCUAAGCUCACAGGAACAUGAGAUACCAGUUUUUAGUGGCCUUUUCUCCACCAUUCCAGCCCUAGCUUGAAGGCUUCCCAGAAAGGAAAGCUCCAAAAGCAGAACUAGCCAAUCACAAGAGUAUCAGAAGUGCCAGAUGCUGUAAGGAUGCAGGAAUGAAGCCCUGUACUAUGCUCAGGUCAACAUCUCCUCAGUCAUCUGCAAGACUACUUACAUCAACCAGUUAAUAAGAGAAUUACCAGCUAUUCAAAACCCUGUAUUUAAGAAAACACUUUUUGUUAAACUGAUCUCACUUCUGAUCCCACUGGCUUUACUGCAGGUUUCUGGGAAGGUAAGACUUAAAUUUCCAUAGUGAAAAAAAAAAAUGGGACAACUGAGUAUGAACUAUGCACAAGAAUUCUCCAAGAGCAGGUCGUGACCUGGUAUAUUAAACUGCCUGAUUCAGUUCAGCUUGAGGGUUUGUAGGCUGAGUUGUGAGCUGCGUUGGCUGAGCCUCCACAGAGUCCAUCACUAUUUCUGUAAUGCAGAUGACGAACCUCUGCAGAGGAAGUAGGCAAUUAGCUGGGAAAGCAACCUCUUCAACCGAGCUGCCAGAGCAGCUGGAGGCCUUAGCUUGUUCAACUGCUGAGAAAGCCAUAUGAACAACUCUUUCUGGAACAGGAGGGUGUAUAGCAAGAUGAAGACAUAUAGCUAACAGAUAAUGCACUUCUAUGUAGCAUUUCUUAGAUUGCUUAGGGACAUCAAGUUAUAAGAUAACAGAAUGGAAAAGGAAAAAUUAGUUAUGUUCAGUUUUCCUCUUGGUUUUGUACCUGUAACCUGCCAGAGGCAAUAGGAAACUGCCCCUCUCCUAUUCAAACAAAAAACCUCAAACCCUGUUCAGCCUUGGGCCAGCAGAAGUUUAUAGUCUGCACCAGAUGACAGAACCAUCUCAGAAAUAGUGAGAAACACCACUAAAUACCUUAACAUGCUCUUCUGCAAGAACAGAAGCUUAAAGAGCAAGUAGUUAAAAUAAUACAGAAAACAUUAAAGUAAAAAAACAGACUUUGUCAAAGCUACAUAGCUGAUGAACAUAAAUUCAUAUCCCCUGUACAUCAGCCACAUUAAGGGAGCUAGAACGUACCAGCAUUUCUCACUAGUGCUUCUGGAGGCUCCAGGGGGAUUUACUACUGCAGCUUACAGUCUCUUGGCAACUCAUAUUUCUCACAAACCAACCUACCUGCAUUCCAAGGCCACUACAUAUACACAGCCUUGAAGAGGCUUCUUCAGUUCAGCACUCACUGGCCAUCAAGUCUGGAUGCCUUCCACAACUGCUUUCACAGUCCCAAAAUAUUGAAGAGAAUUUCAAACUGCUGUUUCUAAAGCCCAGGAUGACAAGAGCAGACUGCCUGAAGCCCACACUUUACAUCACAUGACUGAGCAUGGUCAGCAAAACUGACAUUUUCACCAUGGGGAGAUAAUUCCACAAGAUGAAAAUGCUUUCAUACUUAAACUGCUUUGUGGCAUAAUUAUCUGACCCCAGCAUAAGGCAUCUUCUGAUUUCAGCCUGAAAAUAAGGGAAAAAACAUCCUUCUGGGCAUUAAAAGUGAACACCAUACCACAGAAAAGAUACAGCAGCUGCCAAAACACAUGUUUUUCCACAGACACUGCUCAAGGAGAUGCGCUAAUGGAUUUAGAAAGCAUUUCAGUUAGCACUUAAGCGUAUUUCAAGGUCAUGAUAAACAGCUCAAGAACCUAUAGUAGCAUUGCCACUAAAAUUGCCCCAUACUUUUCCAGUCCAUGAUCACUGGCUCUCACUUCAGCAGACCUCAGCUCUGCUUGCAGAUGUAUUCACAGAAGUCAAGUAUGAAGUGAAGUCUAUCCCUAAAGAGACAGGAACAAGCAGAACACAGGACAGAUUUUUUUUCCCCAUAGCAUUCCAGCCUAAACGUUUGUGUAGCUCCAGCUGUAGAAUGCUAACACCUCUUUCUGCUCUCCUCCCACCACUUUAACUAUCACAGAAGAGACACACCUGAACAUACACAUGGUUGUACAUAGUCAGCUUUCUAGUUUUUACACAAAUAAGCUAUCUACUUUUAAAAUAAUAAAAAGCUUCUUAUAUUUUCAUAGUUCCUUAA